rnacentral:tRNA from 1 species
AGCUCAAUCGGUAGAGCGUAAGACUCUUAAUCUUAAGGUCGCGGGUUCGACCCCCGC